UACGUAGGUGACCAGCGUUGUCCGGAUUUACUGGGCGUAAAGGGCGUGCAGGCGGUCUGUUAAGUGCAGGGUGAAAGCUCCCGGCUCAACUGGGAGAGGUCCUUGCAUACUGGCGGACUUGAGGGGGGUAGAGGAAAGUGGAAUUCCCGGUGUAGUGGUGAUAUGCGUAGAUAUCGGGAGGAACACCUGUGGCGAAGGCGGCUUUCUGGGCCCUACCUGACGCUGAGACGCGAAAGCGUGGGGAGCGAACCGG
rnacentral:rRNA from 1 species